rnacentral:rRNA from 1 species
GACGAACGCUGGCGGCGUGCUUAACACAUGCAAGUCGAACGGAAAGGCCCUGCUUUUGUGGGCUGCUCGAGUGGCGAACGGGUGAGUAACACGUGAGUAACCUGCCCUUGACUUUGGGAUAACUUCAGGAAACUGGGGCUAAUACCGGAUAGGAGCUCCUGCUGCAUGGUGGGGGUUGGAAAGUUUCGGCGGUUGGGGAUGGACUCGCGGCCUAUCAGCUUGUUGGUGGGGUAGUGGCUUACCAAGGCUUUGACGGGUAGCCGGCCUGAGAGGGUGACCGGCCACAUUGGGACUGAGAUACGGCCCAGACUCCUACGGGAGGCAGCAGUGGGGAAUAUUGCACAAUGGGCGGAAGCCUGAUGCAGCAACGCCGCGUGCGGGAUGACGGCCUUCGGGUUGUAAACCGCUUUCGCCUGUGACGAAGCGUGAGUGACGGUAAUGGGUAAAGAAGCACCGGCUAACUACGUG